CUGGUUGUGGGGUGCGGUGCGAUGCGCUCAUUAUAGGUCGGGGGACGGAUUGUAUCGAAACCUUUUAGGUUCGUUACAAGCGAAUCGAUGUGAUAGACCUUAAAGGAAAGAACAAGAAAACCCUUGUUUCCAUGCACAUCUCGCCGGUGAACAACAUUGCCGCCUUGGGGGGAUUUGUGGACUGGCUGGAUGUCAAGACCGGACUGGAGCGGAUCACUGUCAACGGAGAGCGUCGUUCCGCGGAGCUGCAGCGUCUGUCGCAGUUCACCGACAUCAGUGCCGUGUGGACAUCGGGUGCGAAAGUGCUGCGCAAUCACAAUUGUCUUCACAGUCGCACAAAGUGUUCCCGCAUCUGCAUAGCCAGCGGGGUGUGACACGCAGUACUCACGACGUCUGCUCGUGCCCCAAGCAUCUGAUGCUACUGGAGGACAAGGAGAACUACAGCGUGUAUCCGGCCAGAUAAUUUUAAGUGGCGGGAGUAGUGACAUGAACAACGAUUGUAUAUCCGCCUUCUGGCGCUGUGACGAAAGGACUGCCCGGCGGAUCAGUGCAGCUGACAGUCAGCCGAGGGCAGCGACACCACCUGUGAAAACUGUCGCAAUGUCUACGUUGAGGCCGACUGCUGCAAGCGGCCAGGAGAGUUUCAGUGUCCCAUUAACAAGCUUUGCAUAUCGGCCGCCCUGCCUCGGAUAUUCUCGCGUACCGAGCCAAAGAAUCUAGCUCUAAUGGUUCCAUCGAAGAAAUUAAAUAGUAAGCAGGAAACACGUUAAGCACUCCCUUUCAAAGACUUUAAAAAUGUAAUAGAGAACCUGCCGGAUAUUGCAUUUGAGGUGCAACGCGACCAAGCUGCGGAUGAAGAUGGAGCGUUGGUAUUGCUGGUAUUUUAAGACAUAAGUUCAACAAAAAAAUAUUCGCAAUGUUGCAACGUCAAUGUUGCUGGUAUUUGAAAACUUGUUAACCAGAGUAUGGCCAUUAGUUUACCCUUUUUAUGUAAUUUAAUAGGAAGAUACUGUUUUCCAAACUGUUUUUAAAGCGUAAUUAAUAAUGACCUUGUCUUAGAUUGAUAUGUUUUACACAUAUUCAAGCAACUGAUUAGUUUCCUCUAUAUAUCCUGAUUUAAGAAGAUCCCAGUAAGAAGACCACUAAUUGCAAAAUAUCGUUGAAAUACUUCUAAAACAGAGACUGACUAGUUUCUGCAUUAAUUAGAGCAUGGAAAGACAAACAUUUUCUCAAUUCUAUAAUAUCCAUUUCUCCCAGGGCAUACAGAUCCGCGCCAUGUUGGAAAAGAGAGCCUUAACCGAUUAACCGAGGCAAAAAGCGCACAGAACAGAGUACAAAUUCAUUCUCCACAUUUUUCGCAAAGACUGAGAAUUUGUAAUACUAAAAAUUUUUGUUAUUUUUUUCUUUUCCUUUUAAACACUUUGAGUCUACGCUCACUACUAUAUUGUAUGGUAUGGAGUAACAUACAUAUGUAAUUGCCAGGGCAUGCUGAGGAAAAGUUAAAAAAUGAGUUGAUUUCUGAUUUUGACAACCAGUCAAGUUUUUACACUCAGCACUCAAAGAGUUAAGGAAUAUAUUAGUUUUGUGGUGGAUAACUUAUAUACAUAAAUUCUUGAUCUGCAACAAACUAUUGUAUCCAGACUCCUGUGGUAUCACCAAACCAUGUGCUGGUACCCUGGUAUAAAGUCUGACAUCCUAUGAAAGGCAAGUGUGGUGCAUCUCAAAUAUGCUAGGAUUGUUGUCUCUCUUUUCAAAACCGCUAUCUGUUCUUUCUUUGGCACGUGGCAAUUCAAGUCCAUACUGCCUGUCUCCCAAUUCCUCAUAUGGUGCAAUUUCCUGUACUUGAAGACCUUGCUGUAUAUACGUUCGGUUGUCCAGUUGAACGUGACAAGUCCUCUAAGACUUAUUAAAGUCGACUUAUCCUUGCACACGGUAACGAGUUUCUUGUCGUCGGGAUAGUAGUUUACGAGUGGAUUCGAAUCCAAGUGGAUACGGGGGACUCGGCUCAGGAACCCGGCGACGAGACGCGUGUCCCUCCACACAUCGCCGUAGGUGACAGUCCACAAGUUGCUCUUUCGCCUGCCCAUGCUGUCCACAAUCCCGCGUGCUAGUGGUACGGUUAGCUCCUUGGGCCGCGUCGUUAUUCGAGCGGAAAGAUCUUCUAUAGCUCGGAUUCGCCGUUGCUUACCGCUGGCCUCUCGCUGCUCACUGAUCAUCAUCGGUGAAUUUUUUCUCACUUGCGAAGAGAAUUUGCUGCCAAAGCCCGUAGACAGUCCCAUGUUCGAACCGGAUCCCAAUUCUUGUGCCUGUCUAGGGUUUAUGAUAGACUCGACUGUCUUUGGGUGCUCAGAAUCAACGUGGGGCUCCUGCAGCGACGACUCGUUCGAGCUUCGAGGACCCUGCACACUGUGGAUCGGCACUGCUAGUAUGGCAUGUCGUCGAUGGAUCAU